rnacentral:rRNA from 1 species
AGCUCUGUAAGCGUAUACCAAAGUUGUUGCAGUUAAAACGCUCGUAGUCGGAACUUGGCCGUUCCGGAUGUGUGCACGUCGUGUGCGUACGUUGCGGGGACGGCUUUUGUGGUUCGGCGUAGGAUGAUGCCCCUUUAUUGGGGAACGUCCUCGCGCCACCACUCUUUACUGUGAGAAAAUCAGAGUGCUCAAAGCAGGCAUUUGCCGUGAAUGUAUUAGCAUGGAAUAAUAGAAUAGGACUCGGUUCUAUUUUGUUGGUUUGUUGGGACUGAGUAAUGAUUAAGAGGGACAGUUGGGGGCAUUUGUAUUUCGGCGCUAGAGGUGAAAUUCUUAGAUUGCCGAAAGACAAACUGCUGCGAAAGCGUCUGCCAAGGAUGUUUUCAUUGAUCAAGAACGAAAG